GACGAACGCUGGCAGCGUGCUUAACACAUGCAAGUCGAACGGAAAGGCCCUGCUUUUGUGGGAUGCUCGAGUGGCGAACGAGUGAGUAACACGUGAGUAACCUGCCCUUGACUUUGGGAUAACUUCAGGAAACUGUGGCUAAUACCGGAUAGGAUCUCAUGCUGCACGGCGGGGGUCUGAAAGUUUCCGUGCUUGGGGAUGAACUCCUGGCUUAUCAUCUUGAUGGUGGGGUAUUGGCUUACUAAGGCUUUGACGGGUAUCUGGCCUGAGAGGGUGACCGGCCACAGUGGGACUGAGAUACGGCACAGACUCAUACGGGAGGCAGCAGGGGGGAAUAUUGCACAAUGGGCAGAAGCCUGAUGCAGCAACGCCGGGUGCGGGAUAACGGCCUUCGGGUUGUAAACCGCUUUCGCCUGGGACGAAGCGUGAGUGAAGGAAAUGUGUAAAGAAGCACCGGCUGACUACGUG
rnacentral:rRNA from 1 species